AGUAGUAUCUCCUAUGUCUUCCAGGCUCUCUCUCUCGUUUACUCUCCCCCACUCUCUCCUCUCUCCCAGUCUCUCUUUCUCUCUCCCUCCUCAACCGGAUGCCGUUCUCUCUCCACCUCUCGUCGUCUCUCUGCCCCUGCUCGCGCGGAUCCGCUGCCGGCGAUGACGGGAUGGGCCGAGCCUUCAAGCCAUCGUUUCUGCUCGCGUGAUCCGCCGUCGACGGCAACGGGAGGGGCGGAUCCGGCGACUCUUCCCCUCCCGCACGGAUACCGUCCACUCUUCGGCCCCCUCUCACGUGGAUCCACCGUCGGCGGCGACGGUAGGGGCAGAUCCGGCGACCUCUUCCCCUCCCGCACGUGUCCCGUCUUCUCUCCGCCCGCCUCUCGCGCGGAUCCGUCGCCAGCGACGACGAGAGGGCCUUGGAGCUGCAUGGAUCGAGGGAUGAGAGCAACGUCUCCUCUUCUUCCCCUUCUUCCUCCUCACCUGACCAUCAGGAAAUCAAUCCUGUGGUUUUUUGAACUGUUGUACUGGAGAUUGAUGUCAACGUGAUAAUCACUGACUACUACAUGCCUGGCAUGACAGUAUGAUCUACUGAAGAGGGUGAAGGUAAGUUUUGUUUGCAUUGAAUUUAUUCUUAUCCUGUGAGCAUUCAUAAAUCUUGGGUCCUUUGUUGCUGUAAGUGGAGUAAAAUUUGCUCCUUUUGCUCCUCAUUUUGGGGGUACAAGUGUCAUCUUCAUUGAAGGACAUACCAGUUGUGAUCAUUUCUUCUGAGAAUGUGCCUGCAAUGAUCAACAGGGUUGACUUCAAUGAUAACCUGGAGAUAAUGAUUGGAGGUGAUUUGAUGCCCUACAGGAAGAGACUUGCGAUCUGUAUUUUCUUGUGUGCUUCUAUUAUUUCUAUCCCUUCUAAUAAUAAUAUUGUAUGUCUUGCUGGCUUGCGAGAGAAAUAUGUAAAAUCAUGUUAGUGGGAGUGCUAAAAAUAGUGGAAAAAAAGGCGGGACAAUCAGACUGCUGGACGGAUAGAAAAGGAAAAGAAAAGCGACCGAACUCCUGAACGGAAAGAAAAGGGAAAGAAAAGCUCCUACCGGACUAAUGGACUGCGAUCUUUUUAUUGCCUGAUAGAAAGGUGGCUUGAUGUCUUAGAGGAAGAGCCUUGUCUGCUUCUAUCAUUUAUAUUGCUUGUAAUGUAAUGUCAUGUAAUAUUAAUAGCAUGACUCAACAUAAAAUCGGGAUAAAAUUGGAGUAGGAAUCGGUGCAGGGGCUCUUUUUAGUA